UUUUAAUAUAUGCAUACUGCAUCUACAGUUACCUUUCUGGAAUGGACAGGUCUUUUGCACAACAGAAGUCACAGUGCUGGAUUACGAACUGCAAGGUUUUU